CACGUUGGCCAGGAUGGUCUCAAUUUCUUGACCUUGUGAUCUGCCUACCUUGGCCUCCCAAAGCGCUGGGAUUACAGGUGUGAGCCACUGCGCCCGGCAUGUGUGUCUGUAUUUUUAAGAGCCAAAGAUAAACUCAGUGUGCUACGUACGCUGGUACAACUCAAAGUAAAUGGAAGAAAAAUCUCCAAAACUGACCAACAGAAAGCCUGGGUUGUAACCACUGAUGAAAUGGAGCCAGGAAGUUCCAGAAAACAGAGAACAGGUAAUUCCAGACUUAGACAAAUUCUAACAGAAUCAAGUCAGAACACUUCAUACAUUUAACUUUGAUAGCAAGACUAGACAAGAAGAAAACUAGGUAAGGGGAAGGGAACUUACACACCAAAUAGCGAUGUCAACAUUUUAAACAAUAAUAAACCAAGUUUA